GCAAGAAAAACUCCAAUCUCCCACUGAAAGCCAGUCCUUUCAAAGGAGAAUGAGCAGUUUGUGGAAUAGAAACAUUUUCAGUCCAAGGGAGACAGAUACUGUGUAUUUCAACAAAGCCAAAAUAUUUCUGGGUUAUGUAGUCUUAAUAGUUCAUGUUUUAGUAAGUGUAGCUAGUGCCACAGUCUGAAGCCACAUCAGUAAAAACCACUCACUCACCUCCUGCUGUCUAUUACCAGGUCCUUGCUGCAGCCUCCCAACAGUUUAAGCUAUGCUGACUGUAAAACAACGUAGAAAAUUUCCCCAGUGCAGGCAGGCUUGAAGAAGAAACCAGUUUACUGCAAUUCAUGUCUGUGGAAUUGAAGAAAGCUCUCUCUCACCACAUGCUGUAUCAGCUUUCACUCAAAACCCUCCCAAACAGUAAAAACUUCUGACUUGAUUGCAGCUGCUAAAGCAGAAUUAAAUGUAUAACCGGUGGAUGAACUGAGAUCUGUUUGACUCUGAAGAGGGCCUCGAGCAAUGAUUCAAAACUACAUGAACUUUCAACUUCAGUUCACUCAGGGCCAUGGAGUCUUCAGUUGGUUCAUUAUUUUGCAGAGAAUGAGUCUUUCUGCCCUGCAGGGAUCUAUCUAUCUCUGCUGACUCUCUGCAUCUUCUCCACAUGGAAGAAGUAAUUGGAUUGUAUUUUCUGCACAUGACCAAGACAGCAGGGAAACCCAGAGCUGUAAGCCAGAGAACAAGCUGUCUAGAGGGCUGGGCCUGGGUCUGGACCUCACUUGCAUGCCCAAUAAUGUCAUCAGGACUGAGGACAUGAGGAGGAGGAGGCAUCCUGCACCCAGCAGUGAAACCAUGCCAGUACAAAGAUCAAAACCAAAAGAGACUGGACCUCAGACAAAGGAGGAGAAGGGAAGUUGUUGAGGUCUCCACACUCAUUGUCUGAUUACAAUUCCACCAAGGUGGAUUUGAAGUUGUUUCACAGCUCAGCCUCUCCUCCCCAGUGCCUGAGGAGGCAGCUUCCAGCAUGACACAUCCCAUCUUUGACUCACCAGAAGACAUGCUUCAAUUCAGCCAGAAAACAGGAACUUAUAAGGAAAGAGUCUGAAAGCCUGUGGCAAGCCUAUAAGGACUGAUGCACGACAUGAUUGUAAAGUCUAAUUCCAGAAUGAAAAAUCAAUGAAUAGACAGAGAUUCAUAUUCCUAAGAAAACAAAGAUGUAAAUCUACAGCCACUUUGACGAAUGAUGAGCAGAUUUCUCCUGGGGAACAUGCAAAGAAGGCCCACACCUACGGAAAGGCUGUCCCAAGAUUAUGUCACCUACAUGUAUCACGAAGGAAUUUUCUUCUUGGCUGCUCAGAGGAGGAUUUUUAACAUUUGCCUCCCAUUUACUCCACAACAUUUCAUUGCUGAGUAACUUGUACUUCUUCACACCAUUUUAAUUUGAUGGCAUGUACGAGUAAUGCAGAGAUCUUUCGUUCCUAAGGGAAAUUAAGAAAAUAAUUCCCUCUUUCGCUCAGUAACUCAACUGAAUUCAAUUUGGGUUCAUUCUUUUAGGAAAGGUGCUUACCUAGUUCUGUCAAAUUAAAAUAUGGAAGGGAAAAUGUCAAUAAUAAUGACCAUCUUGUCAUCACAAUUCCUAGUUCUUUCAUGCCAUGCUUCCUCCACAGAGAAUUUUAUUUUGCAGAGGGAAAAACUUACAUAAAGUCUUAGAAGGCUUAAGUCACAUCUGUAAUUUCUGCAUAUUGCUAAAUAUUAACAUACACUAUGUGCAUGGAACAAAACUUCAGCAAACCAGCUUUCACACUGAUUUGGUGUUUUGAGCUCACUUGUAAGAUUUAAAUUUUAAUGUUUUUUCUUACAUUUACUUUGAUGUAUAUUUAUCAGAUGAAUUGUAUGCACAGAAAAAGGUGUAAUAAGAGGGCAGAAGUAUCAGCUGCAUUAUGUGUCCCUAUGAGACAGAGAAAAAACAUUAUUUGGAAAUUUCUGUGGCACAGCUGGCAGCUGCUGAUCUCAUUCCUAUUCCCUACAUGGGGCUGUUAACACAAGGACUCAUGAGGGAAUGGCGAGGACUGGAGAGGCCAUGACCACAGUGAAUUUUGAUUCUCCUUUUCCUUGGUGUGGCUGCUGUGCAGAAAACAUGGCUGAGCAGUGCAGCCUGGGAGAAGGCUGAGUGAAUUAAUGGAAGAGAGAAGCCUCUCAGAGCUACUGAAUCCAGGGAGGAUCAGCCUGGAUGGGGAUGUGUCUGGGCUGCAAGUGCUUUGCAGGGGGAGGAGAGGCUGCUGGAUUCUCUGCUCUCACGCUCCUCGUUCCAGCAUCAGCCUUUGGGCGUUAGCAUUAGCUGUCCUUAUUUCAUUAUGCUUUUAUUUGCUGCUGGCAGCAGAGCAGGGCUGGAAGCUGCCCAGGGUGCUGGCUGCAGCCACUCAGAGACCUCUCUUUCCCCAGCGCUGGCUGCAGCAUAGAAUGGACAGGCGCUGAGUAAGUGUGUUUCAUAUCCAGAGAAAAUUUUCCAGAGUGCCUAAAUGGCUUGAAACUGCAGGUUCUGAUGGCCAAGAUCAAGCAACUUGCUUGGGAAAUUGCUUCCAAUUAGCCUUCUCUCUUUUUGUCUCUCUCCCUGUGUUUGUGCAUUUUCAAUUAUGCAGAAAUGUAUAAUUUGGCUCCACUUUCCUUUAUUUAAGCAGGCAAAGAACAGUGAGCUUCAAAACUGCAGAAUACCUUGAAAUCUUUUAACUUCAACCAUUCUGCCUCUGAUAGAAAAACAUGUAUUUCACUUUUAAUUCUCAGUCACCUUAACUGGUACUGGUAACUUUGUACCCACAAGCACAGAACACUAGAUGGAUAGACUGCAGCAAAACGAGUUACGUGUUGUAUUUA